rnacentral:misc_RNA from 1 species
GAUAAGAACGUAGCGAAAUGCGAUAAGUAAUGUGAAUUGCAGAAUUCAGUGAAUCAUCGAAUCUUUGAACGCACAUUGCGCCCAUUAGCAUUCUAGUGGGCAUGCCUGUUCGAGCGUCAUUUCAACCCUUAAGCCCUGUUGCUUAGCGUUGGGAGCCUACAGUACUGUAGCUCCCCAAAGUUAGUGGCGGAGUCGGUUUCACACUCUAGACGUAGUAAUUUUUUCUCGUCUGUAGUUGAGCCGGUCCCCUGCCGUAAAACACCCAAUUUAUCAAGGUUGACCUCGGAUCAGGUAGGAAUACCCGCUGAACUUAAGCAUAUCAAUAAGCGGAGGA